GCACUUAUGGCGCAGUGGAUAGUGGGGAUGGUUGGUAAUCAGAAGACCGGGGUUCGACCCCCAAUAGCGACA